rnacentral:rRNA from 1 species
GGCGAACGCUGGCGGCGUGCUUAACACAUGCAAGUCGAACGGUAAGGCCCUUCGGGGUACACGAGUGGCGAACGGGUGAGUAACACGUGGGUGAUCUGCCCUGCACUUCGGGAUAAGCCUGGGAAACUGGGUCUAAUACCGGAUAGGACCACUGCCUGCAUGGGUGGUGGUGGAAAGCUUUUGCGGUGUGGGAUGGGCCCGCGGCCUAUCAGCUUGUUGGUGGGGUGAUGGCCUACCAAGGCGACGACGGGUAGCCGGCCUGAGAGGGUGACCGGCCACACUGGGACUGAGAUACGGCCCAGACUCCUACGGGAGGCAGCAGUGGGGAAUAUUGCACAAUGGGCGCAAGCCUGAUGCAGCGACGCCGCGUGAGGGAUGACGGCCUUCGGGUUGUAAACCUCAUUCAGCACCGACGAAGCGCAAGUGACGGUAGGUGCAGAAGAAGGACCGGCCAACUACGUGCCAGCCGCCGCAGUAA